UCAUUACAGUUCGACGGCGGUAAAGUUGAACAAGACUUCCGGGAAGGCUGUGAGUACAGCUCCGUAAAGCUAGUGUCAAAAUUUUAUGAAUUUUUUCAUUAUGUAUUUUGCAGCGAUACAAGUAUUCGAUGUCCACUGAUCCUGCGCUGCAGGAGAGCUGAACGGGGGGAGUGGCCGCGUUCUCAGUCUGAGUGCUGCGGGACCAGCUUGGACUCCUCAGGAGGAAGAGCUGCACGUGGAGGAUGAGGGAUUUGAAGAUGUGGACGACAGGGACCCAACGGCCCAUCAUUCUGCAGCACCAUCAAGUAAAUCACCCACCCACCCUGCAGCCCUGAGGCCUGUCCCCAGUACCCCCACCAAACAGAGCACUCCUCCCCAGUCUGCCACUGCUGCUCCACCUGGGACAGACCCUCUGUCUCCAGGCCGGCACGCUCGUCCCCUCCCAGUCCGUGGAUGUUUGACCCCCUCCGAACCAUCCGGGCCAGCCUACGUGCAGCAGAGAGGAAGUGGAGGAAAUCCAUGGCUCAAUCUGACCUGUCUGCCUACCAGUCUCUGCUAGCUGCAUUUUCUAUUGCUGUAACCUUUGCUAAAAUGAAUUAUCAAACAAAAAUUCAUAAAUCUGCCUCUAACCCUCAUAAACUGUUCUCCAUUUUCUCUUCUCACCUCAGCACUCCUCCUCCCCCACCUCAGUCCUCCCUUGCUGCAGAUGACUUUGCGGUUUUCUUUGAUGAGAAGAUUGCAGACAUCUGCAGCUCCUUCAUGUCCACCGCCACCCUUCCCCACUCCCCCCUCUCUGUUCCCUCCCCUUGUUUCUCCACUUUCUCUCCCCUCACUGACUCUGAUGUUUCCCAGCUCCUACUCUCCCACCGCCCUACCACCUGUGCUCUUGACCCUA